CCCUUAGAUGUUCUGGGCCGCGCGCGCGCUACACUGAUACAUUCAACGAGUCUAAAACCUGCUCUGAUAGGGGUGGGUAAUCUUUUGAAUGUGCAUCGUGAUUGGGAUAGAUGAUUGCAAUUUUUCAUCUUCAACGAGGAAUGCCUAGUAAACGCAAGUCAUCAGCUUGCAUUGAUUACGUCCCUGCCCUUUGUACACACCGCCCGUCGCUCCUACCGAUUGAAUGAUCCGAUGAAUAUCAUGGAUUGAGGAUGUAAGCAGGUUCGCCUGUCUUCAUCUUCGAGAAGUGAAGUAAAUCUUAUCAUUUAGAGGAAGGAGAAGUCGUAACA
rnacentral:rRNA from 1 species